rfam:Ictidomys tridecemlineatus contig052701, whole genome shotgun sequence.
GGGGUUGUGGCUCAGAGGUAGAGCGCUCGCCUGACAUGCGUGGGGCUCUGGGUUCGAUCCUCAGCACCA